AUGGCGACGGCGAACCCGGGCGGCGGCGGUGUAGGCGGCGGCUCGAGCAGCGGUGGCGGUGUGGGCGGGUACGGAGAUCUUCCUGGCCUCGGGGCCGAUGCGCACCCAGGAUUGGCCGAUGGCGACGGCGACAGUUCGUCGUACUACUCGAGCGGCGAGGAAGAAAUGGAGGAGGCCCCGCUGACCAUGGAGCAGCGCCUGCGGAUGGCAGAGAUCUGGGUCGCCAACCCUUUGACGAGCCAUCACUGGACCCAUGGAUGUGGUGGGGUGCUAGCAACAGCCACUGACAGUGCUGCAAUUCAGAGAAAUGCUGAAUUACAGACCAUUCUUUAUGCACCACCAGUUGUGUAUGAUUUCAGUGAGCCAGCUGUGCUUGCUGUUGAUGACCAAGGGGUUGUUUUUAAUAGUCAGUGCAGUAGUAGUACCAAUGUUGAAGCUAGUGGUUUUUGCACACAAGAAAGCAAAAAUCUAGGUAAACAAAAGCUGAAUUCUGUGAUGGAGGAUGAAGUUUUGUUGGAGGAGGGAUAUUACAGUAGUGAUAAUCCAGAAGGGGCAUAUGACAGUGACAACUACUUGGAGAAGUACAGGAUUUCUCAAGACACAGAGAUAAUGGAUGGAAAGAGACAAGCAGAUGAGGAACAACUAGCAGAUGAUCAAGAUGAAUAUUCAGAUGAUGAGUCAGAAGAGGAGGAACAACUGCAUUAUGAGGGUGACACUGAGGUUGAGGAUCUGUUUGAGAAGGAGGAGGAAGAGAGUGGGGAUGAAGAGAGGGAGGAGAGCUUGAAUGUGGAGUUAGCUCAACCUUUGCAGGUAGAACCUCCAAAGAAGAGACAGAAGCUGCCAAUUAGGAGGUGCCCCACAACUAGAACACAUUCUAGUGUUUUAAAGGAGGUGAAGAAAGAUUUCAUUCCUUCAUCAGAUGAAGAAGAAACUGGUUGGCUGAUGGAUAGUGAAGAUGAUGGGCAUGAGCCACUGCAAUUUGUCCUAAAGAAAAGCAAGAAGAGUAGGGCACAGAAAAGAAAACCUAGGAUAUGGUUCAAUGAAAAAAUGGAGCACCCACACCAGCAAUUAUAGUCUUCCAGGGUUAGUGCAAAGUGGCUUGCAAAGACAUAUGAGUCAUUGUUCAGGUCUGAUCCAACCACUAGCAUACAAACUCUGAUUGAUGCCUGCAAUGAGAAGUAUGGUGUUGAGGUUCCUAAGCACAUGGCCUAUAGGGCCAAAAACUUAGCUGUGGAAUCUGUCUUAGGAGAGCACAAGAAGCAGUAUCCCAGGGAGGGAUUUCUCAAUGGAUGCAGACCUUUCAUUGGUGUUGAUGGAUGCUUUAUUAAGCUGACCACAGGUGCACAGAUCCUUGCUGCCACUGGCAGAGAUGGCAAUAACAACAUUUAUCCAAUUGCAUUUGCCAUUGUUGGUCAGGAGGAUACAGCAAAUUGGUGCUGGUUUCUGCACCAACUCAAGAUAUGUCUAGGAGGAGAAGUUGGCCAAUUAGGUCCUUAUACUAUCAUGUCAGAUAGACAGAAGGGGCUACUCAAUGCAGUGAAUAGAGUAUUUCCAAACUGCCACCAGAGAUAUUGUCUUAUACACUUAUAUGCAAAUUUCCAGAAUGCUGGUUUUAGGGGGGAAGAUCUAAAGAAAUGCAUGGAUAAUGCCAGUUAUGCUUAUAAUGAAUAUAAGUUUAAUAUUGCUAUGAAUGAUUUGAGAAAUGAGUGUGAGGAUGCUUGGAUCUGGCCUAAUGCAAUUCCUAAGAAAACAUGGGCAAGGCCUGCUUUUGACACUAACUGCAAGACAGAUUUGGUUAUUAACAACCUAUUUGAGGUGUUCAACAAGUAUAUCCUUGAUUUUAGGAAAAAGCCUAUUAGGACUAUGGUUGAUGGUAUUAAGGACAAGCAAAUGGUGAGGUGGCAUGAGAAAAGAGAGAGAGGAAAGGCAGCUUUCUGGGAUAUCACACCACACUAUGCUGAGAAGCUAGAGCUGGAAAAGGAGAGGGCUAGAUACUGCAAACCCAUUCAAGCUGGUGUUAAUUUAUGGCAAGUGACCGGUGGGCAGCAAACACACCCUGUGAACUUGGAUAAUCAUACAUGUGGUUGCAGAAAUUGGGACCUCAGUGGCCUACCAUGCAACCAUGCAAUUUCAGCAAUUAACAAGGCCAAGAGGUUUCCAGAGGACUUUGUUUGUAAAUUCUUCAGAAAACCAUUUUAUGUGGCAGCAUAUGAACCUAUGAUCUUUCCUGUUCCUGGUGAACAUGACUGGAUAAGGACACCUGGACCAGACAUAGAGCCACCAGAAUUUCAUGUUAGGAGAGGAAGAAAGCAAGAGAAGAGGAUCAAGGGCAAGUUUGAAGUGCCAAAGCCAAAGGACAGCAGUAGAAUGGCCACAAUAACAUGCUCUAACUGUGGUCUUGAAGGCCAUAGAUACACCAACUGCCUGAAACAAUUGAAACCAGAUUUGGCUAUGAGGAAAAACAAGCAUGUGGUCACAGCAGCAACCUACACCUGCAAGAUCACAGCAGCAACCUACACCUGCAAGAUCACAGCCCCCACCUGCAAGAUCACAGCAGCAGCCUCCACCUGCAAGAUCCCAGCAGCAGCCUCCACCUGCAAGAUCCCAGCUUGCACCAAGAUCACAGCCUCCACCUGCAAGGACUGGUGCAAGCUCUGGAGCAAGGUCUGGUGCAAGGACUGGUGCAAGAUCUGGAGCAAGGUCUGGUGCAAGUCCACAGCCAUCAACUAG
rnacentral:rRNA from 1 species